GCAGUAGACGCCGGCCAACAUUCGCGAUGACGCAACAAGUUCAAGUUCACUUUUUGCACAGCGACAGGGCAGAAGACAAUAAAGGCAACUAGUACAAAUAUUUGUAGACUUCAAAAUAUAACUGUGUAACACCCUUUGGAUGGUAGGAAGACUUUUACAGAAACUUUCAUAAGAAACCUUAUUAUUGCAGUGACCAAAGAUGAAUAUUUGCAAGUUGGAAGCCAGCUCAUUGUCGACUGAUACUGUGCAAAACAGGGUGAAAUGUCUUGAAUCUGUGAUGAUCCCAGAUUGAGAUUCAACUUCUUGGUGUAGCUGUAAAGUAAUUCAGGAAAGAAGACUCAGCGCCCAUUUGCAUAAUUGAUCCAUUCGCAUAUAUGUGGUCUCAUAGAGAUACUCGAGCCCUGACCUUCAAGCUCGUAUAAAGCGAUGAGGUCGGCUGAGGCAGUGGUGUGGCGGUGGCUGGCGCUGGCAGCGGUGCUAGGGGGGGUUGGGGCGCAGUGCCCCUGGGGCCGCGAGAUAGCCGAGCUGCAGUCAUCGUGCAUCUGCGCCUACAACCUUGGCCAGAUGCUGUCCGUGCAGUGCGACAUGGUCGACUUCCCCGAGCUGCUCAAGGCCCUCGACGAGUACGCCAGCACGCUGCACAUCGACCUGCUCUACGUCAACAACAGCUCCGUCCAGGCCCUGCACGACGCCAUGUUCGCCAACCUCAAGCUCAACAACCUGCAGAUGUCUGGCUGCAAAAUCAGAACCGUCGGCAAGAGAGCGUUCCAAGGCUUGGAGCCUACACUCAGAAACCUCAACCUGCAAGACAACGAACUCGACCACAUUCCAAUCGAAAGUAUACAGACCCUCACCAACCUCAGCCUUCUGGACUUGUCCAGGAACAAAAUCACCAAAGUACCUGACGGCGCUUUCGCCUCGCUCAACAAUCUUUCAACGCUCAAACUAUCGGACAACAAUAUCACAAUAUCGACGGAUGCGUUUCGCGGCCUGGAAGGCUCGUUGAAGAACCUGAAUCUGAAGGGAACGCGACAGAAGGUGAUUCCGGAGGCGGUGCGCAACCUGCGCACUCUGGCCUUUCUGGACCUGGCGCAGAAUGGCCUGCGCGAGUUGCCAGGCCCCGCCGGCCGAGGCAUAUUCGACGGCCUCCACUCACUCACCGCCCUCAACCUCGAGAGGAAUGUCAUCCAGACUGUCACCGACGACACCUUCCAUGGCAUUCGGAAUACUCUCAGCUCUCUCAGUCUUCUCAACAACCUACUAACAGAUUUCCCGGUCGUGGCUGUCAGUGAGCUGUCUGAGUUGAGGGUACUUGACAUAGGCUUCAACCUGCUAACCGAGUUACCAAUAGACGCGUUCCAAGGGACGCCGUCGCUAACCCUGCUGGCCCUGGACGGCAACCCGCUGGCGAGCAUUCCAGCUGCAGCCUUGGCGCACCUCAACAGCACCCUGCGAGGCCUGAGCCUGGGGGGCCGCUUCCUGCACUGCGACUGCCGCCUGCGAUGGGUCGCCGAAUGGAUCCGCCACGGAGACCUCCAGGUCACCAGCCGCGAGCGCAACCCACAGUUCUGCGGCUCCCCACCUUCACUCAAGGAUAAGAGCUUCUACAAUAUGCUACCCGAAGAGUUGGUGUGUGAGAAUGAAAACAUGGGCGUAGCUUUGGUGGUGAACGACCAAGAUGACCUGCUGCAAACACAAGAGAUCGGCGUCGCGGUCGGCUACGUGGAUCCACACGUGGCCACGUCGCAGAAAACGUCGCCGUCAACCACGAGCAGCACAACAGAACUGACAACAACCACAUCGACCACCACCACCACCACAACAACGACAACAACACCCAGAACAACAGUGACAACGCAGUCGUCAACCUCACCGCAGAGAACAAUGAUGACCUAUCGAACCACGCCUUCUACAACCACUACAAGCACAACAACAACAACGACUCCAGCACCGCCGACAUCGCGCUUCGUUCCGACGACGCGUCGCAGCAACAUAAUCCUGCCGCGCACGACUUCCAACCCGUGGCCUCAGCAGCGUCCCCACAUGGCGAUGGCCUUCCCCAGCGCGGCGCGACCCGUGCAGGAAGUACUCGUCAGGUCAGCGCACCGCCUCGACAACUCGGUCAUCAUUCAGUGGGACUCGGAGACGGCCAACAUCCUCGGCUUCCGAGUCGUCUACCGCCUCUUCGGCGACAAAAGCUUCAAGCAGGGGCCGCCGCUUGAGGCUAGCGAGAGGGAGUUCAAAAUAAAGAACGUUCCGUCACAGGAGUGCAUAGUGGUGUGCGUGAUAUCGCUGGAGGAGAUGAACGUGACUCCGGAGUCGGUGCCCUACAGCCAGUGCCGCGAGGUGCGGACGGUGACGUCACCGACCAGCAACAUGGACAAGAUCACGAUAGCAGCGAGUGCCGCCAUCUGCGGCACGGUCGUGAUUGCGGUGAUCGUGUUCGUGGCGGCCAGCCGGCGGCGCUCCCGCAAGCUCCACACCCUGGGGGGGCACCACAAGGGAGGCCACCUGGGGGGGCUGGGGGCGCCUGUAGCCUGCUGCCCCGCCUCUUCACCCGGCCCCCUCUCCUCGCUCGCCACCCUCUCCGCCUUCACCACCCACAAGGACUGGGACCAGGUGUCCGUCUACAGCAACCGCAGCCUCGGCCGACCGCAGCCGCGCAUGUACCACAUGGAGCGACAAGGUCCUUCCUCUGACUUCUAUUAACCUCUUCUAAAGGUCUCUGCGAGCAGCCGGCUGCAUGGGUGACGAGCCGCGCACUCACAUCCCGCACUUCACCAGCAAGGCACCAGUCAAGGCACGCUCGAUCGCAGAUGGCCAGUCGCAGCACAGCUUCUCCAACAACUCUGGCCGCUACAUGGCCAACAACGCCUUCUCUUCCGGUUUAGUCAAUUCGAGGCCAGAGCUUCGCCAAUCGCGACAAUCGCUGGCCGUUUCAGAGCGACUGUCGCGCAUCAGUUACCCGACAGCAACAGCCGGCCACCAGAGGCCGCGACAGAGACCGCGAUCGCGCAAUCACGACACGGGAGGCGGCAGCACGCUGGGCGGGGGCGGUAGACCCGCCUCCCGCUACAGCACGCACGGCUCCACGCACACGCUCAACAACUACUGCGGCGACACAUCCGAUAACUGGACUGACCACGACAUGGACAUUUACAUGACCAGAAACCCCACUACGCGCAGCGGACUAGUGCCUUUGUGAUCGAAUGCAACCUCUAGUGAACUAAAUUGCCAACAUGUGUGAUUGUGUUUUAGUCGACCCUUUGCUGAACUCUUAUUAACGUCUCCAAUUACUACAUCUGGUGAAUUAAAUCGUCAACGAGUGUGAUCGUGUGAUUGUCGACCCUUUGCUGAACUCCAAUUAACUAAGUGCUGAAUAAAAUUAAUAGUAGUGCUUGAAGAGAGACUCAUGAUGAGAGGACAUGUGAAUUCAAUUUUUAAAUGAAAGUGCAAGUACAACUAGUUGAAUUUUAUUAAUGAUAGCAGGUGAACGUACAAGUAAAACUAGUUGAACAACUGAUGAUAGUGUGUCAACAUUCUAGUGAAACAGUAGUUGAAUAGGCUAAUAAUUACAAAUGAAACAAGAAUUCAACUAGAAGGAAAAAUUGUGAAUACUAUUUAUAUGACUGUUCUUCUAUGUUUCACGAGUGAGAAGAUAGGAUGCUAUAGCUUCUACCAUAAUUAUUAAUUUUAGUUUAAGGGAGAUCAACAGCUGCUCUCAACCAAUCAAUGCUCAAAUUUGUUAUUUACACUGGAAAAUGUGUUUUUCUGAACUGGUCCAGCAACGAUGAAAAUUAUACAUGAGCUGCAGCCAGGCUUCCAAAAAUACUAAGGUCUAGGGAAUAGGAAAUAAUAAUCAGACUCUACACUUUGGGGUACAGCUAGAAAAGGACUAUUACAUAGGUCUAUUACUGUAAUUUUAAAUUCUGAAACACAUAGAUUAGUCAAGAAAAUAUGUUUUAAAUAGCAGAAGCGUGAGGGAGGAAUAGAGUAGUGCGCAUGCGCUCUGUUUCUCUUUCAAUCUUUUCUACAUUAGCCGACAGGGCCACCAGACCUACUCCUGAUUAGCCAAACCUAUUCUCGAGACACAAAAAUAGGAUAGAUUCUGAUAUUCCAGUAUGAUAAUUAUACUCAGCGGGAACCAGUCCUAAUCCUUUACUCUCUUAGGAAAUUGAUAAUGAAUAAGUAGAAGAGAGAUUGUAACCAAUAUUUCAGCAAAAAACUACGCAUUGAUUUUUUUGCUCAAAUAAGGGUGUUCUUUCUAAAAAUACUUAUAGACACGAAGUUAAAUGAGUUCCACUUCAUUAAGUGCAGUAACUUUAAACUUUAGCAAUAUAAUUGAAUGUAAAUAUUUAAGUCUAAAAAUGUGUACAUAAAUUUAUUUAUAUAAAAAUUAAUCAAGUCAUUGCACAAAAGGAAUCAUACCUGCAUGUACAUAUAAAAAUAAGAUUAGUUGAGCAUUGUUGAUAAAAAGUCAAGUCAGAGUGUGAAUGCGUCUGCAAAUUACUUUGGAGCACAAAAUUUUGUUGCAAUUUUUCUUGGAAGUAUUGGAAGAAAUGUUAGAUAUUCUUGUUCAUACAUACCUUCACUGAAAAACAACGAUGGAAACUGUCGCAAUAGAAUACAAAUUUGA